GUUUUAUGAUACAUAGGCUACAAUUUUCAGAACUGAAACACAGCAUGGACGCCCUGCACUGCCCCCACCAGGAUUGCGCUGCCUUGCCCUGCCCGAUCGAUGCCGGCUACGUCGCUACACUCCCCACGGCCAGAUGGUGCAGACUUUGCAGGUGUUCAGAGAAAUGAUGUGCUAUUCAAGGGGUUUGGGAGCACUAAUAAAGAAUCUCUUGCUGAACUUUUUGUACCACUAAUGAUUAAAGUGAGUUCUUUAUAGUUUGCUUCAAUUUAUUGUAGGAGGAUAUCUGGUGCAAAAGCAUAAUUCGAUGCAGCCAUGCUUUUUUGUCGAUGAAUUUAAUUUGACAAUGUUCCUAUAUAGUUCCAGUUAUAAAUGUAGCCUUAGCUCCUUGCAGCAAACAUCUCCACGUAAAGUUAACUCCACCAUGUGUUCAAC